rnacentral:rRNA from 1 species
UACGGAAGGGGCAAGCGUUGUUCGGAAUCAUUGGGCGUAAAGGGCGCGUAGGUGGUUCUGUAUGUCUACCGUGAAAGCAUACAGCUCAACUGUAUUUUGUCGGUAGAAACUGCAGGACUUGAGGCUGGGAGGGGCUGGUGGAAUUCCCUGUGUAGCGGUGAAAUGCGUAGAGCUGGGGGAGAACACUCGUGGCGAAGGCGGCCAGCUAGACCAGUUCUGACACUGAGGCGCGACAGCGUGGGGAGCAAACAGG